AGCGAACGCUGGUGGCGUGGAUAAGACAUGCAAGUCGAACGCGAUUAUCUUUGUUAGCAAUAAUAGAGGUAGUUGAGUGGCGAAAGGGUGCGUAACACGUGGGAAUCUACCGAGAAGUGGGGGAGUAGCUCGCCGAAAGGACGGAAUUAAAUACCGCAUACGAUCGCAAGAUCAAAGUAGGGGGGACCGGCAAGGCCUCACGCUUCUUGAGGAGCCCGCCGGCCUAUCAGCAGUUGGUAAGGUAACGGCUUACCAAGGCUAUGACGGGUAGCUGGUCUGAGAGGACGACCAGCCACACUGGAACUGAGACACGGUCCAGACACCUACGGGUGGCAGCAGUCGAG
rnacentral:rRNA from 1 species